rnacentral:rRNA from 1 species
AUGGACUUCAUCGAAGCUCUACCAAAAUCUGAGGGCUAUACAGUGAUCUUAGUGGUGGUUGAUAGACUGACCAAGUAUGCUCACUUUAUCCCCUUGAAACAUCCUUUCUCUGCUCUAGUGGUAGCGAAAGCAUUCCUACAUACUGUGGUCAAAUUGCAUGGACCACCCCAUACUAUAGUUUCAGAUAGGGACAAGAUCUUUACCAGUCACUUUUGGAAGGAUUUGUUCAAGCUUUGGGAUACUAAAUUGCUCAUGAGUACUGCCUAUCAUCCUCAAACAGAUGGGCAGAGUGAAAGAGUGAAUCAGUGUUUGGAGAUGUUUCUCAGAUGUGCAGUACAUGAUACUCCAACAAAAUGGCAUUCCUGGUUACCCUUAGCAGAAUUCUGGUACAAUACUAUUUUUCAUUCUGCUUUGGAGUGCUCCCCUUUCAAAGCUCUCUAUGGAUAUGAACCUACUUAUGGGGUGUUUCCCUCUUUGCUUACCUCUGAUAAUGUUGAAGUGGAACAGUGGCUUAAGGAACACCAGGCACAUACAUCUCUGCUGAAGGUGCACUUACUUAAAGCCCAGACGAAGAUGAAACACUAUGCAGAUCAGAACAGAUCACCCAGGAUGUUUUCGGUGGGAGACUCGGUGUAUUUGAAGCUCCAGCCAUAUGCUCAACACACUGUAGUCAACCGACCAUGUGCAAAAUUAGCAUAUAAGUUCUAUGGGCCUUUUGAAGUUUUGGAACAGAUCGGACCGGCUGCUUACAAACUUCAGCUACCUGCAGCAGCCUAG